rnacentral:rRNA from 1 species
GGUAACGGCGGUUCCCACUGAGGCCUGACCUUUAGGCAACGUCGGGCGUGGUUAGUACUUGGAUGGGUGACCGCUUGGAAACACCGCGUGCCGUUGUCU